ACCCGCUGAAUUUAAGCAUAUAACUAGGCGGAGGAAAAGAAACUAACCAGGAUUCCCUCAGUAACUGCGAGUGAAGCGGGAAAAGCUCAGACUGAAAAUCUUCGGAAUUGUAGUCUGGAGAAGUAUGGUCAGCCGAUGGUGAUAAGUGAAGUCUUCUGGAAAGGAGCGCCUUGGAGGGUGAUAGCCCCGUUCAUACUUAUUACUAGAAGCGUACGACCUGCUUUCUACGAGUCGUGUUGUUUGGGACUGCAGCACUAAGUGGGUGGUAAAUUCCAUCUAAAGCUAAAUAUUGGUGGGAGACCGAUAGCGAACAAGUACCGUGAGGGAAAGAUGCAAAGAACUUUGAAAAGAGAGUUAAAUAGUACCUGAAAUUGCUGAAAUGGAACCGAUGGGAAGCAGUGUCGGUGGCGGGUAUUUAUACCUGUCACAAGCCAGGCUUCUUUUCUGGUGCGGGAAAGGCUGAUAAACCAGUUUGGGUUACCGACGCCGUCGUGCUAGCGAAGGACUCUGACGAAAUGCUUCUCAUCACCCCGUCUUGAAACACGGACCAAGGAGUCUAACAUGUGUGCGAGUGCUCGGGGUCAACCCCCCAGCGCGAAAUAAACGUAAAGGGGAAUUUAUUCCCUUAGGUAGGAUCCUUAGGUGCACUAUCGACCGACCAUGAUCCUCCGGGAGAAAGGUUUGAGUGUGAGCAUACAUGUUGGGACCCGAAAGAUGGUGAACUAUGCUUGAGUAGGGCGAAGCCAGGGGAAACUCUGGUGGAGGUCCGCAGCGAUUCUAACGUGCAAAUUGAUCGUCGAACUUGGGUAUAGGGGCGGAGGACUAAUCGAACCAUCUAGUAGCUGGUUCCUCCCGAAAUUUCCCUUAGGAUAGCUGCAACCGAACAGUUUUAUCAGGUAAAGCGAAUGAUUAGAGGCAUCAGGGGUGGAAUAUCCUUGACCUAUUCUCAAACUUUAAAUGGGUAAGAACCCUGGGUUGCUUAAUUGAACCCGGUGGUCGAAUGACGGUUGCUAGUGGGCCAAUCUGGGUAAGCUAGAUUGGCGAUGCGGGAUGAUCCGAACGUCAAGUUAAAGUGCCAAAGUAUCCGCUAACCUAGAUCCCACAAAAGGUGUUGGUUCAUUAAGACAGCAGGACGGUGGCCAUGGAAGUCGGAACCCGCUAAGGAGUGUGUAACAACCCACCUGCCGAAUGAACUAGCCCUGAAAAUGGAUGGCGCUGAAGCGGAUCACUUAUACUUGACCAACAGAGCAAAUGCGAGGCUCUGUUGAGCAGGGAGGCGUGGGGCUCGUUGCGCAUUCUGUGGCGUAAGCCGGGAUGAAACGGGCUCUAGUGCAGAUCUUGGUAGCAGUAGCAAAUAUUCAAAUGAGAACUUUGAAGACUGAAGUGGAGAAAGGUUCCAUGUGAACAGUAAUUGGACAUGGGUGAGUCGAUCCUAAGAGAUAGGAGAAUUCUUUUUGAAAGUGGUCCUUCCUCGGAUGGACCCGGCUAUCGAAAGGGAAUCGGGUUAAUAUUCCCGAACCAGAACGUGGAUAAUGAGUGGUAACACAAACGAAACUGGGGACGCUGGCGAGAGCCCCGGGAAGAGUUCUCUUUUCUUUUUAACAGACCGUUAGACCUUGGAAUCACAUUGAGUGGCGAUAAGGUUUAACGACUGGCAAAGCAGUAUUUUUUUGUACUGUCCGGUGCGCUUUCGACGGCCCUUGAAAACCCCAGUGGCGUGACUAU
rnacentral:rRNA from 1 species